rnacentral:lncRNA from 1 species
CAGGCUGGGAGUGCCCGCCUCGAGGUCUCCUUACUUACCCACCACGGUACCCUGGCCAGGGCCGUCUGAGGUGGCUCCUGUUAUCGUGGCUGCUUUUGAGGAUCAUGGUUAAGACCACCGGACCGACGGUCAAGCCGGUUGUAAAUACCCUUCUUUCCAUGUUCUUCAGGGACACCAGCCCCAGCGACGACCUUGGACGAUUUCAACGCGCAGGCACCUCGAUCCCCCGAAUUCUUGGUGUGGCCGGUAUCACUGUUCCCCUGGUUUAACUAGCCUGUUUGGUAAGUAACUGAAUAUUUUUUACAGCGUGUUCAGAGCUUAUUUUCCAGUUUUUAUGAACAAACAUAUAAAUAUAUCUCUGCAUUCCUGACUCUCCCAUAAAAGCGGGCAUCUGUGGAAAGCAGGUUUAGUUAUCGGAGGGGAACCAUUAAACAGCAGUUUAAGAGGCAGAGCGGGAGGACGGCUCGUGGAUGUUUAGACUGCUGGCCUUAGUGAUCUUGAACGCAUUAUAACGGAAAAUGGAUCUCCAUUUGUAAGUCAGCGGGCCGCGCGGGGCACCAGGGCCGCGGCGCCCGCGUGGCGUGAGCAUCUUGAGGAAGCUGGAGAGAGGCUGGGGCGGGGAUGGACAGGGGCAGGAGCUGAAACAUCCUCAGGACUUGGUUGGGAGUCGCAAAGGGAGCCGGCUAUGCAGCUCAGGAUUCGGCCCGAAGGAGUUUGGUGUGGAAAAGGGUGUCAACCAGGACCCCACGCGGCCGUAAAUUAGAGGAAGCCCAAGGCAGGGUGCACAGAAGCGUGGGCCGGCCAGGGCGGCCUGGGACUCGCCACUGGGCCUGGCUGGGGUCACCCAGGGGAGACCUUUAACUCCACCUUGGAUAUUGUACUUUGGAAGCAGGCAGAGUCAGGCCCCAGGCCGCCAAGGGAGCCCCACCCCACAAAGGGAGCCCCACCCCAAGGACUCGGAAGGGACAGUCCAUUCCUUUCCCGCUGGGCGCUUUCGGCGGAGUCCGCGGUUGGGGAUGGAAAGCGAGGUCAGUGCUAAUGGCGGGGGGGGGGGGGGGGGGGGCGGGAGGGGUGGUGGGGGCGCCCACCUCCUGAGCUGCGGGGGAUGCAGGGCCGGCUCCCUCGGCCUUUGCAGCCCUGGGCAGCAGCGUGGAGAAAUACUGUUCAGAUAUUUCCGUGGCUGGGCGUUAGGACAGGGGAAGAUCCUCGGAGAGGGGCUAGGAAACCCAGUGUGGGAGUGAAGUGUCCGUUCGGGCCCUUUCCCUCCCCUCUGCAAGGGGUCAAUUUCCCUGGAUGCCCCCAGCAUAGCAUUUUAAGGCAGAGAGCAGGGGGUGGGGAGAAGCUGAAAUCAGAUUUGUUGGUAAAGUGCCACUUGGCGCAUGGAUCAAAAUAGCGAGCUAGAAGCCCUCGACCCCCCAACUUGGAUGGGUCUGAGAUUUUAGCACAAGCAGGGUGUUUUAAAGACCUUGUUCUUCAAGGAAAGAAUAUAGGUAGUGUGAUGGGGUUCUGUUUACAUUUUCACCAGGGAGGCAAACCCUGAAUGUGUAAAUACUGGUAGUUCAAUCCUCUGACAUGUGAUACUUUUUUUUUUUUUUAAGUCUGUUUAUAAGAACACAUCCAGGCCCUGGAAGCAGGUAGAAAAAGCAUGAUGGUGGCACCCAGGCUAGCAACAGAUAACUGCUCAGGGAAAGAAGUUGGUAGACUGCUUUCAGACCCAGAGGGAGUUUUGGGAACUGAAAGGAAGAAUGGCUGAGUUGGGGACUGGGAUGCCCUGUCCAUCAGAGGUGAGUGGCCUCAGUGUCGAAGCCAUCAGAAUUGGCCACUUUCAGCCUUCUCAUGCUCUUUUAAUUGAAACCAAAAAUGGGCAAAUCUCCUCAUGGCCCCAGAUAUCACGGCAAGUGAUAAAAGAGACGGAGAACACGGGACAGAAAAGAAAAAAAAAAAGUCGUAAAAGAUGCUAAUCUGAGCAUCAGUCCUCACUGACAGUGUCAUUAUCAGUUAAUUAAUGCUGUGCAACAGUCUGGGGCUUCAUGUAGCUCAGAGAGCCAGACCCAGAGACUACAUACAGUCUCAGAAAGGCAAUUUGUAGGCAGGGGACAAAUGGGUGAACUCCAGCGUCCUUAACUGUAGUUAUUAACUCGCAGAGACCAGACUGGCUGAGGGCCAUUCCCAAUUCACAACCAAACGAGUCCUCUUUUUUCUCAUAGAGUCCUCUUUUGUACCUUUUGCUGCGGGUCUAGUGGGGGUGCUGGGUUAGUCUGCUGCUUUGGAAAGCUGUGAGGCAGAUCCACCUCAAGUUCAAGUUUGCCCCCUCCCCCCCCCCAGUUUAGACGAUUAGACAGUCUUUGCUUUCUGGUGGUAGUGAGGGAGGGGGGAGAGUGAUGGAGGAGAACAGUGGGAAAAGAAAGGGAGGAGGGUGAAUUUCCCAGCUGAGAUGUCAGCCAGGGACUGCACUACUGUGCACGCUGCUGAGCUGUCCCCCUAAGGGCACAAGUUCCAGUACUCAAAGGGCGCAAGCAUCUGAGAUGCUGCAGGCUGUUGGCCACCCUGGGUGCCCGCAGGAGGAUUCCUAGUGAGGGUGUACUAACUUGCCUCUCCUUUUCUGAGGCCAUGGGCUGAGCUGCAACCAGUCUUACCCAGGUGGGCAGCCCCCCGUUUGGAGACAUGCUGUGAUUCCUUGUCCAGUCUCCACUGUAGCUGAUGGUCUACCCCUGUACCGCGCGAUACGUCCGCCUCCAGCUAAACAGACAGAACCGGGUUCAACAAUUUGUUUUGCGCCCCUGUCUCUUGGCUCUUUCCCUUCACUCCCACCCCUUCCUCUGGAAAAGACUCAAAGAGCCUGGGAGAAGCUGAGAACUAACUCCCUUGCAAACGUUUUGGUCUUGUGAGAUAUUCCUUUUAAAAUCAAUCUGCUUUAAACUAAAUAUUUUUUUUAAAAACUUCAGUCUGUUUUUAGGGAAAAUACAGAUCUCUCGGAGGUAUUUAUUAUUACAAAGGCAAGGGCAGUUUGUAUCUUAUGUUUUGCUCAUGAGAACUCAAAAUAAACUGGACCUGAAAAGAACCAGGCCAGAGGGCCAUAAACACACAUUUUAUGUUUACGGGAAUUAUGGCUCAAUUCCCUUCAUCGUUUUUCAAAUCUCGUUUUACCUUAUUUUCCUGACCAACAUAGUUGGAGCAAUGGGGCAUUCCUUUAAAUAUCUAUAACGCUCUUAUAUAAGGUGAACCCCAGAAAGUGCCGAGAACUCCAGAAAGAACACCAGACCCAGAAGAUGGCAGAAAAAGAAAUGUGUUCUCGGGGAAGUAACCUCAGCCUCACCUGUUCCAAGGAAGUUGUUUCUUAGGACACCCUGAUGGCUUUGCAUUUUGUCUGAAUAAGGGUGGGAUUGAGUCAUUUUAUAGGCUAGCCACUUGGUCUUAGAACCUUCAGGACAUGAAGAAUAAGGCAUACUGUCUGAGUGGCGGCAAAGGAUCUCCCAACUCGGGUUCCAUAGUCCCUCCCUUUCUGGUUUGCCUUUUGGGAAAUGGUUGUCUACAGACAUGGCAAGUGACAGUGACUCCAGAAAUGUGGGGGUGCUCAGAGGAUACUUCUACAAUGCAGGAUCACGUUCGAUUGGACUCUUAUAUCUGUUUCACAAGAAGUUGCCCAUGGCUCUUAUGAGAUUUUAUUUGUUCUGAGCACUUUCUUUUUGCAUUUUGGGGUGGGGUGGGGUAUUUGGGGAGUGAUUCCUCUCCCCUCUUCUUUCCAGAGCAGAUCUGUGGAGAUGGGGGGGGGAGGGGCUGAUUCAGCUGCAAUGGAGGAGGGGCUGAUUGCUUACGACUCCCUUCAGUCCAGUGUUUUUGUUUUUGUUUUUGUUUUCAGUCCAGUUUUGAUUAGGAAACAUUUAAGUCAGUGGAGAAAAUGGGACUUGUUUGAUGCCUCCCCUCCAUUUAGCCUUUCUUUCAUAUUCCCUUCUUCCCUGCCAGCCCUUUCCUCUUUCUCUCUCUCCCUCCUUCCCUCCUCCUCUCUACCCCCCCCCCCCACCCCUUCAAAUUUGCCUUUGAGCAGUGCUUGGAUUUCUGAGGUUUCUGAUCCCUUCAGGUCAUUGAACCUGAAACUGGUGAAGAAUAAGAUACUGGCUUCUCCUUUAGUCCUUUAAGAAAAAUAAGUAUUUUUGUAAAACACUGAGAUGUAAUUGACAAAUAACGCUGUGUAAGUCUAAGACGUACAAUGUGCAAGAAAAAUGUCACUGUCCAGUCUUACAGGUAGUGGGAAUUUGCAUUUUCUUCAAACGGUCCCUGACGAGAUCUUCAUAUUAACUGGCAGAUGGGCUGCUGCUGUGGGAGGUUUUCACUGAUACCUGGCCAGUUAUUCAAGUUAAAAUACUUAUUCCGACAAAAGGGAACAAAAGAGAAUGCACCUGAAAGGGCCUCCCUAGAGGCAGCAAGAUGUGUAUAUAGGAGGUGCUAUUGAUGUUGUUAUAAGAGGUAAGGUAGAUCUGAUCAUUGCUGCUUUCUAGUAAAGCAUAGAUAGUUUAGAGCACCAGUGGUGUGAGAAAAUACAUGCCACAGGAUUUCUCCUAACUGCUUUGUUUCAAGCAAAUUACAUACACACUGGCAAUAUUUUCUUCCAAGCUAGAAGGAAAGCACUCCACAUUCAGAUGACGAGGAAGCAAUUGUAUUGCAUCCACGGUCUAUGGGAAAAUAAGCAGUCGUUAACUUCAACUAGUCUGCAGGAGGGUUCAGAAUGAAAUACAAAAGCGAAUGGCAACUUAAAAUGUGGAGCUUUGGACAAGCCAUUUAAGUGAGCGAAGGUUUUGUCUGUGACUGGAGGCCCCAUGCAUUCCCAGUUGUAACUGCGGUGUAGCGAGAAUUCUUAGGAAGUCCUGUUCGGAAGCUUCCUUUGCAAAUUCAUGUCGUUUUUUUUUUUUUUUUGUUGUUGUUGUUGUUUGUUUGUUUUGUUUUGUUUUUAGCCCUGGCAGUUUCUUGCAACCCUUUUCUACUUUAUUCUAGGGCCUUUGCUUCUAGACAAGGGACUUGAGCCAGGAUGGUUAGGUUUCAGGUUAACAAAAAGAAACCCUUUUAUUGUCAAUAUUAAUGGCAAACCUCGAUUUUUACAAGGUUUAGGUUUAGCGGCACGAGCAGAUCAAAAGCAGCUUGGCUUGAUUUCUCAAUAUUCUCCGGAGCUUAGACAAUUAGCUGCAAUUUUGCGUCGAACGAAACAACACAAAAAUGUUAGUUACCAAAAUGUUAAAGUUAGUCUUUCGGCAAGGAUUUUACCUGUGCACAACGUGUCAGAAGCUAAUAAAUUCGUCCACUGAACCUGAGUUGAGUUUUGAAGGAAACGCCUUUAACAAAAUGUGUGAGCACACUGUCUUCAUUUGCAAUGCCACGGAGACCUGUUUCAGCUGUGUGCAUUCCACACUUGCCUUUCUGGCUGGGUAAGGAUCCGGCAGACUGAGGUCUCUCUGGUAAUUUGGGUACACCGAGUCUCCAGUUAAUGAUAGAUAAUCAGCCUUUGGGUCAUUCGGUCAUUCUCUUAUUACAAACCCCUCCUGCUCUCUCUGAUCUCCUUUCAAACUAAAUUUCACACAAACAAAUAAAGCAAGACAGGGACAAGUUCCUUAAAAAAAAAAAAAAGGAGGGAGAAAUAUUAGAAACUCCUGAUACAGAACUCUAAACAAGGAAAGGCAAGCUAAAAGAGGAUAGGAAAGAACAUCUUAUCAAAAUGAACAUGCUGUGUACAAAACAUUAGAAGAGAAGGCUCUGGUUUCUGUUAAAGUGACAGAAAAUUAAAAUAAAAAUAAUUGCAGGCAGAGAAGUUAUAAUAUAAACAGAGAAGGCAGGAUGCUUGCUGGAAAUGCGCAGCACGAGGAGGCUAAUUUGUUGUUACAGAUUAUAUAUCUGCACCCGUGAUAGGAGAGGCGCUACUUUGUUCUAUUUUCCAGAAAAGAAUGGCUUUCUUCUUAGUACUUGUGUGAGUGCUCACUUAACACAGGCCAAAACCUCGAGGAACAAAAAAUGGAAUUGCAUUCUGCUUGCGAAGCAUCCAACUUCAAAAGAAGGAAUUGGUUGCAUACAAAAAAAAAAAAAAAGCAUUCCAUUCAAAACACAUUUAGAGGGUUCACUAAAUUGGUAUGACUGAUGCUUUUUUGUUUUGCUGACAGAAGGUGCAGAUCAUUCUCGGGGAAGUCCAACCGAAACCAGCCCUCCCCUGCCCUCUGGAGUCUUCGUUUUCCAGCCUACAUCUGCUUGUGACUCCAGAAAGAGACUCCAGAUUGGCCAAGGUACAUCUCUGACCAGAUCCCUCUAGGAAAAGCUCAGGAAUGCGUGACUCUAAUUGUUCAGAACUCUGGUGAGAGUGUCCCUAGUGCCAUUUUGCUGCCCCUGUCUUUGACAAUCCCUUUUGGCCCAAGUCCAGGUCUCCGGAAGGGUCAAGGUCUAGCUGCUGGUGUCAAGCCCAAGCCCCAGCUUUUCAAUCCUAGGAGAGGUUGGAACUUUGGCUCAGGGCUUGAACAACUCACAGUUCUCCAAGUUAGAGGGGCAGUCCUGAAACAGCAGCAGGUGGUGAAAUUGUGACUCCGAGAUUGUCCCGGACUGAAGUCUGGCAUUCCUUGACUUGCUAGCAUAGCUAUCAAACAAUCCAUGUCUGUCCCAUUUUAAAGAAUCCACACUUCACUUUGUUUCUUCUAGGCCCAGUUUAAAUGCCACCUCCUCCAGGAAGCUUUUCCAGGUAUUGCUUUCCCUCUCUCUGCUCCCCCACAUUAAGUCCCCUCUCUG